GACGAACGCUGGCGGCGUGCUUAACACAUGCAAGUCGAACGGAAAGGCCCUGCUUUUGUUGGUUUCUCGAUUGGCGAACGGGUGAGUAACACGUGAGUAACCUGCCCUUGACUUUGUGAUAACUUCAGGAAACAGGGGCUAAUACCGGAUAUGAUCUCCUGCUGCAUGGUGGUGGUUGGAAAGUUUCGGCGGUUGUGGCUGGACUAGCUGCUUAUCAGCUUGUUUGUGUGGUAGGUGCUUACCAAGGGUUUGACGGGUAGCCGGCCUGAGAGGGUGACCGGCGUCAAUGGUCCUGCGAUACGGACCAGAAUGCUACGGGCGGCAGCAGUGGGAAAUCUUGCAGAAUGGCGGGACGUCUGAUGCAGCAACGCCCCGUUCGUGAUGACCGCCUUUGGGUUGUAAACCGAUUUCGACUGUACCGAAGAGUGCGUGACGGUACUGGGUAAAGAAGCACCGGCUAACUACGUG
rnacentral:rRNA from 1 species